rnacentral:rRNA from 1 species
CCCUGCCAUUUGUACACACCGCCCGUCGCUCCUACCGAUUGAAUGUUCCGGUGAGUUAUUCGGACUGCGAGUUUGGACCUGUCCUUGCUCGCGGAAAGUCUUGCGAACCUUAACAUUUAGAGGAAGGAUAAGUCGUAACAAGGUUUCCGU